rfam:Zea mays cultivar B73 chromosome 2, whole genome shotgun sequence.
ACUUUAGUAUUGACCCCAAUCCACAUGUAUUGAGGUGGAUUGGGGUGUAACUUAAACUAAUAUACACCCAAUCCACCUAAGCACAUGUGGAUUGGGGUCAAUACUAGA